CACUUUUCCACUAGUUACCAAUGAAAAAUUCAGUAUAACCUAAUAAGUCUAUCUUAUAACUAGCCAUCUCAUUUGGGUUUCAGAAAACUAUUAAGCAAACAUUGCUGCACUUAAGCACCAUUAAAAGCAACAAAUACUAUCAAAGGCUAAAAUAUGAAUUCAGGUGAUUACUCAAAUGACAGUCAAUAUCAGGUCUGUACAGAGAAUACAAAACAUUCAUUCUGGUCAAUGAGCCUAUUUAGCUCAGCACCUGCUGAUGCAGGACAGCCUAGCGAAAUCCAAGGUACAUGGGCUGUUUUGCAUGGAAAAAGGUGGAGUGAGAUCAGAAGUGAUGAUAACAAAAUUUGGUUUAUGAGUCUAAACAGAAGGAAGGAACCCAGUUUUUCCAAGGAUUGGAUGAGGACCAAAGAUUAUGUAAGAGUUUCUUAGAAUCUGAGCAAAAAGUAUGAAGCUCUUAAAGAGCAACAAAAUCAAAAGGCCGAAGAAGCAUGGUUCUGACAUCUAACCACAAGCUAACCUUCAUACUAGUAAGAGAUAUUAUGCAAGCCAUGGAUUGCUCAUGAAAAUCCAAUUAUACCAGUUUAUAAGAAAAAAUGGAUUCCCUCAAUCCCUGUAAAGCUUAUCAUGCUUAACAACAUGAACAAGUAAAAGCCCAUCUUCAGUGAGCACACAAAUUAACAUUACCCCAUUACGAGUACUAUGAGGAGCAGUUUCUAACACUAAAACUAUGUUGCAUGGAAAGAAUGAGGCACUUAACCAAUAACCAUCCUUAGUGAGCACACAAAUAAACAUUAUCCUACCAGGAGGACCAAGGCAAGGAGUUUCUAACACUCAGAGACUAUGUUGCAUGGUAAGAUUGAGGUACUUAACCAAUCAAGUGAGUCAAAUGUAGAAGUUUUCCAUUACCUCAAUUAAGGCUAUUAAGCAGUGUUGGAAAAUGCAAGAAAUACAAACACACGUCAUCACACUUUCCAAAAUCACUAUAGGUGAAAGGAAAUCAUUCAAGUUCAAAAUCCACAUCACUCAGAUGUUCAAAAGUUUAGUUUGAAAGCUUUGUUAAAUAUAGCGAUUAAAUGAUCAUA
rnacentral:misc_RNA from 1 species